GGAUUAAGAAAUUUCAAAGAUAGGCUUCUAACCUAGUCUUUAAGCAGUGGAAUCUGUUUUUAAUUCU
rnacentral:tRNA from 1 species